rnacentral:rRNA from 1 species
UUGGAGGGCAAGUCUGGUGCCAGCAGCCGCGGUAAUUCCAGCUCCAAUAGCGUAUAUUAAAGUUGUUGCAGUUAAAAAGCUCGUAGUUGAAUUUCGGGAUCAAUACGUCGGUCGUGCUUUCGGGUACGUACUGGUGUCAUUGGUUUCUCCUUUCUGACGAACCAUGAUGUCAUUAAUUUGGUGUUAUGGGGAGUUAGGACUGUUACUUUGAAAAAAUUAGAGUGUUUAAAGCAGGCAUUAGCUUGAAUACAUUAGCAUGGAAUAAUGAAAUAGGACGUUCGAUCCUAUUUUGUUGGUUUCUAGGAUCAACGUAAUGAUUAAUAGGGAUAGUUGGGGGCAUUAGUAUUCAAUUGUCAGAGGUGAAAUUCUUGGAUUUAUUGAAGACUAACUACUGCGAAAGCAUUUGCCAAGGAUGUUUUCAUUAAUCAAGAACGAAAGUUAGGGGAUCGAAGACGAUCAGAUACCGUCGUAGUCUUAACCAUAAACUAUGCCGACUAGGGAUCGGAUGAUGUUAAUUUUUUAAUGACUCAUUCGGCGCCUUACGGGAAAC